GACGAACGCUGGCGGCGUGCUUAACACAUGCAAGUCGAACGGAAAGGCCCUGCUUUUGUGGGGUGCUCGAGUGGCGAACGGGUGAGUAACACGUGAGUAACCUGCCCUUUACUUUGGGAUAACUUCAGGAAACUGGGGCUAAUACCGGAUAGGAGCUCCUGCUGCAUGGGGGGGGUUGGAAAGGUUCGGCGGUUGGGGAUGGACUCGCGGUUUAUCAGCUUGUUGGUGGGGUAGUGGCUUACCAAGGCUUUGACGGGUAGCCGGCCUGAGAGGGUGACCGGCCACAUUGGGACUGGGAUACGGCCCGGACUCCUACGGGAGGAAGCAGUGGGGAAUAUUGCACAAUGGGCGGAAGCCUAAUGCAGCAACGCCGCGUGCGGGAUGACGGCCUUCGGGUUGUAAACCGCUUUCGCCUGUGACGAAGCGUGAGUGACGGUAAUGGGUAAAGAAGCACCGGCUAACUACGUG
rnacentral:rRNA from 1 species